GAUGAAGAACGUAGCGAAAUGCGAUAAGUAGUGUGAAUUGCAGAAUUCAGUGAAUCAUCGAAUCUUUGAACGCACAUUGCGCCCGCCAGUAUUCUGGCGGGCAUGCCUGUUCGAGCGUCAUUUCAACCAUCAAGCCUUCGCUUGUGUUGGGGCCCCGCGGCUGCCGCGGCCCCCUAAAUCCAGUGGCGGGCUCGUCGUCGUACCGAGCGCAGUAGACAUCCUCGCUCCGGGAACCCGACGGGUGCCGGCCGUGAAACCCCCCCCAUCAAGGUUGACCUCGGAUCAGGUAGGAAUACCCGCUGAACUUAAGCAUAUCAAUAAGCGGAGGA
rnacentral:misc_RNA from 1 species